UGUCAGGUGUGAUUCCAUUACAUGAGAAUAGAAAACUUCAAUAAAGUCUCAUGUCAGGUGUGAUUCCAUUACAUGAGAAUAGAAAACUUCAAUAAAGUCUCUUGUCAGGUGUGAUUCCAUUACAUGAGAAUAGAAAACUUCAAUAAAGUCUCAUGUCAGGUGUGAUUCCAUUACAUGAGAAUAGAAAACUUCAAUAAAGUCUCUUGUCAGGUGUGAUUCCAUUACAUGAGAAUAGAAAACUUCAAUAAAGUCUCUUGUCAGGUGUGAUUCCAUUACAUGAGAAUAGAAAACUACAAUAAAGUCUCUUGUCAGGUGUGAUUCCAUUACAUGAGAAUAGAAAACUACAAUAAAGUCUCUUGUCAGGUGUGAUUCCAUUACAUGAGAAUAGAAAACUUCAAUAAAGUCUCAUGUCAGGUGUGAUUCCAUUACAUGAGAAUAGAAAACUUCAAUAAAGUCUCUUGUCAGGUGUGAUUCCAUUACAUGAGAAUAGAAAACUACAAUAAAGUCUUGUCAGGUGUUAUUCAAUUACAUGAGAAUAGAAAACUUCAAUAAAGUCUCU